UACGUAGGUGGCAAGCGUUGUCCGGAAUUAUUGGGCGUAAAGCGCGCGCAGGCGGCCUUUUAAGUCUGGUGUGAAAGCCCACGGCUCAACCGUGGAAGGUCAUUGGAAACUGAAAGGCUUGAGUACAGAAGAGGAAAGCGGAAUUCCACGUGUAGCGGUGAAAUGCGUAGAGAUGUGGAGGAACACCAGUGGCGAAGGCGGCUUUCUGGUCUGUAACUGACGUGAGGCGCGAAAGCGUGGGGAGCAAACAGG
rnacentral:rRNA from 1 species